rnacentral:lncRNA from 1 species
GAUUAUUUCUUUCUUUAUUGUAUAUCGUUGGUGAGAGGGAGUUUUUCCUUACUAUGUUUCUAUUUUGGGGUCCUCCGUUUAUAUAUAUAUAUAUUGUAUUCGUAUCUUGGAGUUGUCUUUGGAGGUUUGGAUAGUCAGAAUUGAUUUAGCACCAUAUUCAAGUAAGUUAUUUCUUCCUCAUCUCUUUAUUUGUAUUAUGAUUUUGUUCUUUUUAGGAUUUCUUAAAUUUAUCUUGUUUUAUAUCUAUUAUAUUUGUGAUCAUUUUGGUAUUUGAAUAUUUUAUCCAUUUCUUUUAUUCAGUUCUCUACCUAUUUAGGUUAUAUGUUCAUUAUACUCUACAUUUUGUAUGUAUAGACAUUUGUCUAAGUUUUUCUGCUCAUUUAUGUAUUUGUCAUUUUUAUUGAUUAUUUUGUUGAUAUUUUUUGGCAUGUGUUAUUAUAAGUAUUGUAUUUUGUUUCAAGUUCUCUAUAUUAAUAUAAUUUUUGUCCUAAAUUUUUUAUAAUUCUGUUUAUGUUAAUCAGUGUUCAUAUUCCUUAC